CAGCCGCCGCGGUAAUACGUAGGGGGCGAGCGUUGUCCGGAAUUAUUGGGCGUAAAGCGCGCGCAGGCGGUCCCUUAAGUCUGAUGUGAAAGCCCACGGCUCAACCGUGGAGGGUCAUUGGAAACUGGGGGACUUGAGUGCAGAAGAGGAGAGCGGAAUUCCACGUGUAGCGGUGAAAUGCGUAGAGAUGUGGAGGAACACCAGUGGCGAAGGCGGCUCUCUGGUCUGUAACUGACGCUGAGGCGCGAGAGCGUGGGGAGCAAACAGGAUUAGAUACCCUGGUAGUCCACGCCGUAAACGAUGAGUGCUAAGUGUUAGAGGGGUUAAACCCUUUAGUGCUGUAGCUAACGCGUUAAGCACUCCGCCUGGGGAGUACGGCCGCAAGGCUGAAACUUAAAGGAAUUGGCGGG
rnacentral:rRNA from 1 species